AAUAUAUUUUAUUAUAGUAUAUAAAUUUAUUAAUUGAAUAUUUUAUAUGUAAAUUUUUGUGUGAAUAAAUAUUAUUUAAAAAAUAAAAUUAUUGAAUCGCAGUAAUUAAUAUUAUUGAUUUAAGAAAUUAUGAAUUAGUAAUUUAAUUUAAUAUAGAUAUAUUUUGUGCCAGCAAUCGCGGUUAUACAAAAUAUAUAAAUAAAUUAUCUUAGAAAGAAUUAAAUAUUUAAGAUAUUGGAAAUUAAAAUUUAAUUGAUAUUAUUAAGUGAAAUUUUAAUAUUAUAUAAUUUUAAUGAAUAUAAUAAUUGAUUUUUUAAAUUUUUUUUAUAAACUAGGAUUAGAUACCCUAUUAUUAAAAUAUAGUUGUAUAUAUCUAGAUUAUUAGUAAAUAUAUUUAUGAAAUUAAAAUAAUUUGGCGGUAUUUUAGUCUAUUCAGAGGAAUCUGUUCUAUAAUCGAUAAUCCACGUUGAAUCUUACUUAUUUUAUUUAAUUUGUAUAUCGUUGUCAUUAGAAUAUUUUAUAAGAAAAAUAAUUUUCUUUAAUUGAUAUAAAUUUAUAUGUCAAAUCAAGGUGCAGUUUAUAUUUAAGUAGAAAUGGAUUACAAUAAAAUAAAAUUAUAUGGAUUAUUAAUUGAAAGAUUAUAUUGAAAGUGGAUUUGAUAGUAAAUUUAUUUAGAUUAUUAAAUUGAUUGUAGCUCUAAAAUAUGCACAUAUCGCCCGUCGCUCUUAUUUUUAAAGUAAGAUAAGUCGUAACAAAGUAGAAUUACUGGAAAGUGAUUCUAGAUAGA